CAGCAGCCGCGGUAAUGCGAAGGGGGCUAGCGUUGUUCGGAUUUACUGGGCGUAAAGGGCGCGUAGGCGGACUGAUAAGUCAGGGGUGAAAUCCCAAGGCUCAACCUUGGAACUGCCUUUGAUACUGUUUGUCUUGAGUUCGAGAGAGGUAAGUGGAACUGCGAGUGUAGAGAUGAAAUUCGUAGAUAUUCGCAAGAACACCAGUGGCGAAGGCGGCUUACUGGCUCGAAACUGACGCUGAGGCGCGAAAGCGUGGGGAGCAAACAGGAUUAGAUACCCCAGUAGUCCCUGUCUCUUAUAC
rnacentral:rRNA from 1 species